CAAUUUUACAAAAGAAUAAUCCCUGGAAAGGUAUGUAAUCUCAACAGACCAACACUUGUCAGAACAAAAAAAGGUAUGAAAUCUCAACAAACCAACAAUUGUCAGAACAAAAAAAAGGUAUGUAAUCUCAACAAACCAACACUUGCCAGAACAAAAAAAGGUAUGAAAUCUCAACAAACCAACACUUGGUCAAAAAUAGUUACAACUCACUGAGUCUCAAACUCUUUCUUCAACCAACAACAAAGCUUCAAGUUGCUCUCUACGCUGCUCCAACUCCUGCAAUUGACAAGACUAGGGAUUUAUGGUGCUAUUCCGAAGAAAAUCAACAUAUUUACAACUGAUAUAAAUAGAAAACAAGUCCCAAAAACCGCUUGGUUACAGCAAAUCCUAAGAUCGAUAUCAAUUUAAAAUGAUGUUUAGAAUCCAACAGUGAAUAUGAGCUAGCCACAAGAACGUAACACGAACAUUCUGCUAGCUAUGCAUGCAUUAGGUACUCCCACUGAUCAACACCCAACUCAACUUUAAUGUUUACGAAAAACUGUAACCAUAUUACAGUUCAGUCCACCAAGAGAAUGCUGUAGAACCAAGUCUGAAAUUGAUCUUAUUUUUAGAUUCAAACAUCAAUCAUGACCAAUUCAGAUGAUUAUGGACCAUCUGAAUUUGGAGUGCAAUUCUAGUCGAAUGGAUCAAAUAUAAACAAAGAAAAGAAAGGAGAAAAAACGUAAUUGUUCCAUAAGAAUCAGAGUGCCCUGCUUCUAUUUGAAGGUAAUAAGACCAAGAAGAAGAAGUUUGAGUUCUCAAGAUGUUGCU
rnacentral:lncRNA from 1 species